AAACGUGCAAGUGGCAGGCAGCAGCGUUCACAAUCAGCGGCUAAUCGGCAAUAUUCUACAUUUUACACUAGUAUGGCAAGAACAUUUAGCAGCAUUGCGGUGGCAGCGUUGAACGAAUGUAUGUAUUUACUAGGGAAUUGACAGCAGUUGCGGCAUUUGUGCUGGCUGAGCGAGAUAAUACGAAUAUGUUCGUUGGUGUUAAAACAUUAGCAAGCAUUUGCAUUUGAUUUUCGGAAUUGGUUGGACGUUUGAUUUUUUGCUUGCGUUUUAAUUUGUGUUGCUGUGUUUUUGGCAUUGUUUUGCUUUUUCUUGGAUUUGUUUUUCCGGCGGUUGCAUUGGAAUUAUUGGGAAGUGAAUUGCUAACGGCGAACACACUCAUAUACGGUCUUCGGGUGGUAACAGUUCGUUGGCGCCUCCUACUGCUAGAAUUUGUGGAGUCGAAUUAAUGAACUAAACGGAGUUAACGGUAAAGGAAUUUAGUGAUGUGAAUUAAUUACCGACAUGUGGAAAUGAAUCAACAACAAAUAAUGCAUUGAAAAAUAUACAGUCAGGAAAAUUUUAAAAUAACAGUUAAAAUUUGUGCUCGUGCUUUAAAUCGCAAUAAAUAAUCCAUUGAAGAAAACUCUGAAGUUGAAAAACUGGUCGAAAGGAUUCUCAAAUUUCUAAAUUUCAUAUUAAAACAGAUGGAAAAAGAAUAAAAAGCAAAAAACCAACAAUAAUACUUUAAAAAAAAGUGCAGUGGAUACUCAAAAUUUAUGAUUCAAUAAAUAAUAUAUUUUCAAAUCGUAAAAAAGUUAUGUGCUACAGAGUAAUUAACUGUAAAUUCCUUUAAAAGCAUUUAAAAAUCAAUGCGAAAGAAGAAAAGCUUGAAGCUUUACGAAAAAAUUAACCAAGUGGUACUUUAAAAAGAUAUCUUAAAAAUAAACAAAUUAAACCUUAGUACUCAAAAAAAGAGUAUGGAGACAAAUUUACUAGUGAUUUAAAAAGAUUAAAUUUGAACUAGUGCAUCUGCGUGAUCCUUGACUGCUUCUGCCUCUACAUUCAAAACAUAGUGCCAGCGAGUAAAAGAAACCCACUUUCACUACCAUAUACCCUACCAUUGCCAUUAACCAUUCAGGGUCUCAAAACAGUAAUAACAAAAAAAAAAAUCACCUACAAAAACAACUUUGCGCAAACUGUAUUUACUUACAAGUAAACAACUUUAGAAUCGAAAAUAAAAUUUAAAAUUCAAUAGAAAUUAACUAGACAUGCUGUGCAUUUUGUGCGGCAUAAACAAAUAAAAACAUUUGUCUGCGAUUUGUUAAUUAAUAAAAA